AACGAACGCUGGCGGCAGGCUUAACACAUGCAAGACGAGCGCCCCGCAAGGGGAGCGGCAGACGGGUGAGUAACGCGUGGGAAUCUACCCAUCUCUACGGAAUAACGCAUGGAAACGUGUGCUAAUACCGUAUACGUCCUUCGGAAAAAAGAUUUAUCGGAGAUGGAUGAGCCCGCGUUGGAUUAGCUAGUUGGUGGGGUAAAGGCCUAUCAAGGCGACGAUCCCUAGCUGGUCUGAGAGGCUGAUCAGCCACCCUGGGAAUGAGACACGGCCCAGACUCCUACGGGAGGCAGCAGUGGGGAAUAUUGGACAAUGGGCGCAAGCCUGAUCCAGCCAUGCCGCGUGAGUGAUGAAGGCCCUAGGGUUGUAGAGCUCUUUCACCGGUGAAGAUAAUGACGGUAACCGGAGAAGAAGCCCCGGCUAACUUCGUGCCAGCCGCCGCGGUAACAC
rnacentral:rRNA from 1 species